rnacentral:rRNA from 1 species
GACGAACGCUGGCGGCGUGCCUAACACAUGCAAGUCGAACGAAGUGGCGAACGGGUGAGUAAUACGUGGGUAACCUGCCCUCCUUCUUGGGAUAAGCCUUGGAAACGGGGUCUAAUACCGAACAAUGGGGGAUGGGCUUGCGGCCUAUCAGCUUGUUGGUGGGGUGAUGGCCUACCAAGGCGGUGACGUGUAGCCGGCCUGAGAGGGUGAACUGCCACUUUGGGACUGAGAUACGGCCCAGACUAGUACGUGGGGGGGCAGUGGGGGAUAUUGCACAAUGGGCGAAAGGCUAAUGGAGCGACGGCGAGUAGGGGUUGAGGGCUUUAAGAUUGUAAGCCUCUUUAGCUAUCGAUGAGGUAGGAGGAGAGGAAGCGACGGCUAACUACGUGCCAGCAGCCGCGGUAAUUC